rnacentral:rRNA from 1 species
CGUGUAGGCGGCAAAGUAAGUCGGGUGUGAAAGCCCUCGGCUCAACCGAGGAAGUGCAUUCGAAACUGCUUAGCUUGAGUACGGGAGGGGGGAGUGGAAUUCCCAGUGUAGAGGUGAAAUUCGUAGAUAUUGGGAGGAACACCAGUGGCGAAGGCGACUCCCUGGACCGAUACUGACGCUGAGACGCGAAAGCGUGGGGAGCAAACAGGAUUAGAUACCCUGGUAGUCC